UACGAAGGGGGCUAGCGUUGUUCGGAAUUACUGGGCGUAAAGCGCACGUAGGCGGGUCGUUAAGUCAGGGGUGAAAUCCCGGAGCUCAACUCCGGAACUGCCUUUGAUACUGGCGAUCUUGAGAUCGGAAGAGGUGAGUGGAAUUGCGAGUGUAGAGGUGAAAUUCGUAGAUAUUCGCAGGAACACCAGUGGCGAAGGCGGCUUACUGGUCCAUAACUGACGCUGAGGUGCGAAAGCGUGGGGAGCAAACAGG
rnacentral:rRNA from 1 species